UCUCAAGUAUAAGAAGGGCAUUUGGUGGAUGCCUUGGCGCGUAAAGGCGAUGAAAGACGUGGUACGCUGCGAUAAGCUUCGGGGAGCUGCGAACAAGCUUUGAUCCGAGGAUUUCUGAAUGGGGCAACCCACCCCUUAGGGGGUAUCGUGUACUGAAUACAUAGGUGCAUGAGGCAAACCCGGAGAACUGAAACAUCUAAGUACCCGGAGGAAAGGACAUCAACCGAGACUCCGCUAGUAGUGGCGAGCGAACGCGGACUAGGCCAGUGGCCAGUAUGUAAGAACCGGAACCGUCUGGAAAGGCGGGCCAUAGUGGGUGAUAGCCCCGUACGGGUAGAAAGCAUAUUGGUCCUUGAGUAGGGCGGGACACGAGAAAUCCUGUCUGAACAUGGGGGGACCACCCUCCAAGCCUAAGUACUCUUACGCGACCGAUAGUGAACAAGUACCGUGAGGGAAAGGUGAAAAGAACCCCGAUAAGGGGAGUGAAAUAGACCUGAAACCGAAUGCCUACAAGCAGUGGGAGCACCUAUAAGGUGUGACCGCGUACCUUUUGUAUAAUGGGUCAGCGACUUAAUUUCUUGAGCAAGCUUAAGCCGAUAGGUGUAGGCGUAGCGAAAGCGAGUCUGAAUAGGGCGAAUAAGUUCAAGGUAUUAGACCCGAAACCCGGUGAUCUAGCCAUGAGCAGGUUGAAGGUGGGGUAACACCCACUGGAGGACCGAACCCACGUCUGUUGAAAAAGACGGGGAUGACUUGUGGCUAGGGGUGAAAGGCCAAUCAAACCGGGAGAUAGCUGGUUCUCCGCGAAAUCUAUUUAGGUAGAGCGUCAUGUGAUUACCAUCGGGGGUAGAGCACUGGAUGGGCUAGGGGGUCCCACAGACUUACCAAACCUAACCAAACUCCGAAUACCGAUGAGUACAGCGUGGCAGACAGACAAUGGGUGCUAAGGUCCGUUGUCGAGAGGGAAACAGCCCAGACCGCCAGCUAAGGUCCCAAAGUCAUGGCUAAGUGGAAAAGGAUGUGGGAAGGCCAAGACAACCAGGAGGUUGGCUUAGAAGCAGCCAUCCUUUAAAGAAAGCGUAAUAGCUCACUGGUCUAGAUAAGCUAUCCUGCGCCGAAGAUGUAACGGGGCUAAAGCCAUGCACCGAAGCUGCGGAUGUGAUCUUUUAGAUCACGUGGUAGCGGAGCGUUCCGUAAGCCUGUGAAGGUGUGCCGCGAGGCAUGCUGGAGGUAUCGGAAGUGAAUAUGCUGACAUGAGUAGCGAUAAAGAGUGUGAGAAACACUCUCGCCGUAAGUCCAAGGGUUCCUGCGCAAGGCUAAUCCGCGCAGGGUGAGCCGGCCCCUAAGGUGAGGGCGAAAGCCGUAGCCGAUGGGAACCACGUUAAUAUUCGUGGGCCUGCUGGAGGUGACGAAUACCGUAAGUUGUAUUCCCUUAUUGGAUUGGGGAUGCAGCGAAGGUGUUCCAGGAAAUAACCCCGGCAAUAUAGACCGUACCCUAAACCGACACAGGUGGACAGGUAGAGAAUACCAAGGCGCUUGAGAGAACGGUGUUGAAGGAACUCGGCAAAAUGCACCCGUAACUUCGGAAUAAGGGUGACCGCCGCUUGGGCAACCAGGUGGCGGUGGCACAGAAUUGGGGGUGGCGACUGUUUAAUAAAAACACAGGACUCUGCUAAGUCGCAAGACGAAGUAUAGGGUCUGACGCCUGCCCGGUGCCGGAAGGUUAAGAGGAGGGGUGCAAGCUCUGAAUCGAAGCCCCGGUAAACG
rnacentral:rRNA from 1 species